AGCGAACGCUGGCGGUAUGCUUAACACAUGCAAGUCGAGCGCGAAAGUGACUUCGGUCAUAAGUAGAGCGGCGGACGGGUGAGUAACACGUGGAUAAUCUGCCUUUAGGACUGGGAUAACCCUGGGAAACUAGGGCUAAUACCGGAUAAGACCACAGGUUCCAUGGAACCAGGGGUAAAAGGCGGCCUUCGGGCUGUCGCCGAAAGAUGAGUCCGCGUCCCAUCAGGUAGUUGGUGAGGUAACGGCUCACCAAGCCGAAGACGGGUAGCCGACCUUAGCGGGUGAUCGGCCACACGGGGACUGAGACACGGCCCCGACUCCUACGGAAGGCAGCAGUGGGGAAGUCUUGCGCAAUGGGCGAAGACCUGACGCAGCGACGCCGCGUGAGGGAUGACGGCCUC
rnacentral:rRNA from 1 species